GACAGAGGGUGCAAACGUUGUUCGGAAUUACUGGGCGUAAAGCGUGUGUAGGCGGUCCGCUAAGUCGGGUGUGAAAGCCCUGGGCUCAACCCAGGAAGUGCACUCGAAACUGGCGGGCUAGAGUACUGGAGAGGUUGGUGGAAUUCUCGGUGUAGAGGUGAAAUGCGCAGAUAUCAGGAGGAACACCAGCGGCGAAGGCGGCGCUCUGGGCCGGUACUGACACUGAGGAGCGAAAGCGUGGGGAGCAAACAGG
rnacentral:rRNA from 1 species